rnacentral:rRNA from 1 species
UGAACGCUGGCGGCGUGCUUAACACAUGCAAGUCGAACGAUGACCCGGUGCUUGCACCGGUGAUUAGUGGCGAACGGGUGAGUAACACGUGAGUAACCUGCCCUUAACUCUGGGAUAAGCCUGGGAAACUGGGUCUAAUACCGGAUAUGACUCCUCAUCGCAUGGUGGGGGGUGGAAAGCUUUAUUGUGGUUUUGGAUGGACUCGCGGCCCAUCACCUUGUUGGUGAGGUAAUGGCUCACCAAGGCGACGACGGGUAGCCGGCCUGAGAGGGUGACCGGCCACACUGGGACUGAGACACGGCCCAGACUCCUACGGGAGGCAGCAGUGGGGAAUAUUGCACAAUGGGCGCAAGCCUGAUGCAGCGACGCCGCGUGAGGGAUGACGGCCUUCGGGUUGUAAACCUCUUUCAGUAGGGAAGAAGCGAAAGUGACGGUACCUGCAGAAGAAGCGCCGGCUAACUACGUGCCAGCAGCCGCGGUAAUACGUAGGGCGCAAGCGUUAUCCGGAAUUAUUGGGCGUAAAGAGCUCGUAGGCGGUUUGUCACGUCUGCCGUGAAAGCCGCGGCUCAACUUCCGGAUCUGCGGUGGGUACGGCAAGACUAGAGUGAUGGAGGGGAGACUGGAAUUUCCUUGGUGUAGCGGUGAAAUGCGCAGAUAUCAUUGAGGAACACCGAUGGUUUUAGGUAGUUCUCUGGCCAUUUACCUGACGCUGAUGAGCGAAAGCUUG